rnacentral:rRNA from 1 species
GAUGAACGCUGGCGGCGUGCCUAAUACAUGCCAGUCGAGCGAACAGACGAGGAGCUUGCUCCUCUGACGUUAGCGGCGGACGGGUGAGUAACACGUGGAUAACGUACCUAUAAGACUGGGAUAACUUCGGGAAACCGGAGCUAAUACCGGAUAAUAUAUUGAACCGCAUGGUUCAAUAGUGAAAGACGGUUUUGCUGUCACUUAUAGAUGGAUCCGCGCCGCAUUAGCUAGUUGGUAAGGUAACGGCUUACCAAGGCAACGAUGCGUAGCCGACCUGAGAGGGUGAUCGGCCACACUGGAACUGAGACACGGUCCAGACUCCUACGGGAGGCAGCAGUAGGGAAUCUUCCGCAAUGGGCGAAAGCCUGACGGAGCAACGCCGCGUGAGUGAUGAAGGUCUUCGGAUCGUAAAACUCUGUUAUUAGGGAAGAACAAAUGUGUAAGUAACUAUGCACGUCUUGACGGUACCUAAUCAGAAAGCCACGGCUAACUACGUG